CUUUUUUUUUUUUUUCUUUGCCUUGUAGUUCGAUGCUCAGCGUGAGAGAUAAGGUCAGAGUACCCACAGGACCCCGCGUCUCCCAAGGGGCGCAACAAAGAUGCUUACUUGGCCUGCUGGAUGGAGAGAAAGAGGCCCCUUGGAAUCUCUUUGCCUUCCCAGUCUAGAGCCGUCACUGGGAUCCCCAUUGUUUAAGGAUUUUUGACAGUUCAAGCUGAAGUUUACCAGUCACUGGGCUAGUCGGGUUCACUCAUCCAAUUCCGUUUAUUUGCUAUAUUCUGAUGAUCUACUAUUUACUGUGUCACAAAACAAACCGAAACCAACUACUUACAUUUAACAUAGCUGCCUUUCCCUGCAUUUUGGUAUGGAAAAAAAAAAAAGAAAAAAAAAAUAGAAACCGCAUUUAGACAAUUCAGAAAACUUACCAGGAAAGUGUUCUAUAUUAUCUCAGAGAGAAGUUUUAAUACUGGUUUGUUGCUCAAGAAAAUACAGUGAAAUGACAAAUCAAAACCAGAUAUGCAGUUUUCUCAAACGCUCUUUAGCAUUGCUGUAUCUUGGA
rnacentral:lncRNA from 1 species